rnacentral:tRNA from 1 species
UGAAAAAUCUAUAUCCCAGCUCGUUUUCAUCGAGCCUUCCCCCCGUUUGGAGUAUAGCCAAGUGGUAAGGCAUCAGUUUUUGGUACCGGCAUGCAAAGGUUUGAAUCCUUUUACUCCAGAGCAUACUUAUUCUAGAAAAUAGAAAAAUAAAAAUAAAGUCCCAUCCCUACCCUAAUAAAUAAAUGAAAGUAGAUUUAUAUUAUUUUUGUAUUUCUAGGGGGAAUGUUGAGGCAAACUUACGAUGC